rnacentral:rRNA from 1 species
GCUUGCACUUUGAUGACGAGUGGCGCACGGGUGCGUAACGCGUAUAGAACCUACCCUGUACAGGGGGAUAGCCCAGAGAAAUUUGGAUUAGUACCCCGUGGUAACUAUAAAUGGCACCAUUUAUAGUUUAAAGUUUUCGGACGGUACAGGAUGGCUAUGCGUCCUAUUAGUUAGAUGGUGAGGUAACGGCUCACCAUGGCAUCGAUAGGUAGGGGCCCUGAGAAGGGGAUCCCCCACACUGGUACUGAGACACGGACCAGACUCCUACGGGAGGCAGCAGUGAGGAAUAUUGGACAAUGGGCGUAAGCCUGAUCCAGCCAUGCCGCGUGCAGGAAGACGGCCCUAUGGGUUGUAAACUGCUUUUAUACGGGAAGAAUAAGGGACACGUGUGUCCUGGUGACGGUACCGUAAGAAUAAGGACCGGCUAACUCCGUGCCAGCAGCCGCGGUAAUACGGAGGGUCCGAGCGUUAUCCGGAAUUAUUGGGUUUAAAGGGUCCGCAGGCGGGCAAUUAAGUCAGGGGUGAAAUGGUGCGGCUCAACCGUAGCACUGCCCUUGAUACUGGUUGUCUUGAGUCAUAGUGAAGUGGCCGGAAUAUGUAGUGUAGCGGUGAAAUGCAUAGAUAUUACAUAGAACACCGAUUGCGAAGGCAGGUCACUAACUAUCGACUGACGCUGAUGGACGAAAGCGUGGGGAGCGAACGGGAUUAGAUACCCCGGUAGUCCACGCCGUAAACGAUGGAUACUAGCUGUCCGCUGCCUUGAGCAGUGGGCGGCCCAGCGAAAGUGAUAAGUAUCCCACCUGGGGAGUACGUUCGCAAGAAUGAAACUCAAAGGAAUUGACGGGGGCCCGCACAAGCGGUGGAGCAUGUGGUUUAUUUCGAUGAUACGCGAGGAACCUUACCAGGGCUUAAAUGCAUAAUGACAGGUCUAGAGAUAGACUUUUCUUCGGACAUUUUGCAAGGUGCUGCAUGGUUGUCGUCAGCUCGUGCCGUGAGGUGUCAG